CUCCAAGGUCUCAUUUAUUUGAAAGGCAGGGUUUUUCAGUGAAACCCUAGCCGCCACCGCGAUACUCACUCUCUCUCAUCGGUAUCAACCUGGAAAUGGCAUGAGUACAGUGUACUCUUUCUUUACGUAGGUCAUGCAUGUCCAUUUUGGGCAAAUCAAUAAAUGCAUUGCCCUUUUUCCACCGCAAUUCAAUCAAACGAGGAUUGUGGAAUGGAUGGAAUAGUGGUUUAAUCUUGAAAGAAAAGAUGAUACUUGUGGUGAUGCAUACCCUCUGUCAAAAUGAGUGUUUUGUUUAGUCUUCUUGAAGGUUUGAACUGCUUAGAAUGAGUAUUCCCUUUGUUAGAAUGCUUUACAUAAAGCUGAACUUUGAAUGAUUGUCAAUAAAUAUCCCCUGCUUCCUUUG